UUCAUUUCUCCCUUUUUAAGUACUACUUAGUUCCACAUGCACGUGUCAGGCUUGUGAUGAUACACCUCACCACCUAUAUUUUAAACAUGAUUGUAGUCUAGAUCUUAAACACCUUCUUCAAACAGGUUAGAUUCCAUUGUUUGUGAGUUAGUGUUGUAGUUUUGAUAUUGAUUAUUGUACUAAUCUAAGUUGCAUGAGUUUGAUGUCUGCUUUCUAGGCUACACCUUCAUGCCUUACCGGUCCGUACUGAUGUACCGAUCGGUCAUCGGUAUGAUAUUUACCAAAUUGUACCGACACACGAUAUGGUGGAGCAUACCAACAAACUGGUAUGUACCGUCUAUACUGAUCCUUUGUUGGACCAGAACAUACUGCCCAUACUGGGCGGUACUCUGCAGUAUGGUGAAUCUUGAUGCCAAGGUCAAGAUUAAAUGGAAAAUAAUCAUGUAUACUAAUUACAAGACACACUUGCAAAGGGCAAUAGUCCACAACCAGAAAGCAAGGGCACUUGAUCAAGUAUCCUAGUGACUACAAACUAGAAAAUAAGGCAAUAACCAACAACCAGAAAUUAGUAAAAGAAUCCAUGUAUGUGUCUUUUAAGUACAUGUGUGGCAAUCAUAAAAUUUAAGCAAUGGGAUGUUUGGACUGUUUUUUAUCAGAGUUUUUGAAGUUAUAAUUUCAGUCAUAGAGAAGUAAAUGCGAUGCCUUGAGGAUUUCCAGUGUAAGCACUGACUUGAAUAAGAAAUCUGAGUGAAUUCUUGAGACAACUAGAAGAUUGUAUUGGAUUUUAAUAGUAUACAGAUUACUGUACAAAACUGUUAACACUGAUCAGCAGAUCUCCUAAAAUCUGGAUGCUGAUCAUAGCAUACAAGGUUUCAUGAGCUACUUAUGAGCUUAGGAUGUUAAGAAGAUGGACUCUGCUCUGAAUUAGCUGCUUGAACAAACUUUCUAUUCCACUCUCAAGAUCUUUAGUGUUGUCCUCUAGCAUUUGCAAUUGAUCGUGGAAUUUUACUACCCUGCCGUCACCAACAUCUUUGCAGGAUAUGUACUCGAGCGAAGCAUGCAGUGAGAACAAAUCUGAUCUUUCAAUUCCAUUUCCAUCCUCAUGCUCCCUCUCGCAUGCCACUUGCUUCUUGCUUAAUGCCUUGGAGACAAACGACCACCUUCCUGUCUUUGGUCGUCCUGCCUGCAAUGACAAGAAAGACGGCACUAGAUGGAUGAGAGACAAUGUGAUCGCCUUCAGUUCCAUCAAGAGCCUGCUCACUAUUGGUUUUCCACAGUCCUUGUCUGCACAUUUUCCCUCCACCUUCAAUGAUCUGAAGCAGUUCUUCACAUCCUUGUCUGCCUUCUUAGUAAAACGAAGGUAAGCAUUCACUGUUCUUUCUGCUGCAGCAACAUCUCUUCUUCGGAGCGCCAGCCGAAGGUCUUUGAUGUGCUCUUUGAUCAUAGCCAAGCCAUCUUUCAAAUCACUGCACAAGUCCAGCAAUCUGAUGGACCCAUCCAAUUCAUCUUCCAGCCAUUUCUUCUGCAAGGAACAGUGGUUGCAUGGCAAGCGAAGAACCUCCUUGAUAGAUUCAUACACAGCCGCAAGCUCUCUUAGCCCAUCGGAGAUCAUCUGUGGCGAUGAAGGAGAAGAUGUUGCUACAAAAGUCCUAAGCUUGCACAGAUCUUCUUCAACUCUAAAUAUCACAGGGUGAGGUCUGGAAGGCAUGCUAAUGGAACGGAGAUUGCAAGGCUGGGAUGUCAUAUUUGCUCCUGGCCAAAAGUAGGGGGGAUCACUCAAGUUGUGUGACUACUGAAGAUGAUCAGAGGAAAUAUGUGUAUCCGAUGGGGAUUCAUCCUCAGACUCCCUCUUCUUAUAAACCAGCAUGGAUACCCAGAGGUUGGUCAGACGAAGGGGACAACAAGAAUCCCUCUUUCUUGAGUUGUCAUGUGAUGCCAAUGUGGUUCUUGGCUUGCAAUGUGAUUUUGUACCAUCACCCAGCAUCUCAUUGUUUCAUCAGUUGGCAGCAAAGAAGCAAGACAAGAUUGGCAAUAAUUAUUAUUGGUGGGUACAACCGAAAACCACAGGGAGAAUCUGAUGCACAGGUGCAGUGUACACAUAAUGAACUGCUUUAAGAUGAGCUGCAUGUAUGAGUUGGGGAAUGCACCUCUUGCAGUGAUCUCAAAGCAGGAUUGUCUCCUCAUCAUAAAUGGUUCCUUGUCAUUAUAAUAUUCGAGCUUCACCGGCUAAAUCUGGAUCUCGAGGUACAUCUGCAUGAAACGAUGCCAUCUUCCCACCUGUUCUCAAGGUAAGCCUCGUUCUCAGGCUAGUCGAUAUAUUUCUUGCUUGCUGUAACAGUCCUAUGCAGUCGUUGAUAUAUAUGGGAGAGGCAGCCACCGACCAUCAAUAUAUCACUUGUCCCACACGCCACUUUAACCUAUCCAUCACCUUGCUUUCCCACGUGUUAUAUGGGACCCAUGAGGUUUGCUAUACAACAUUGAUGGGAAAACUAACUUAGUUAACGAUUACCGGAUUCGACGUAUAA